rnacentral:rRNA from 1 species
UACGUAGGGGGCGAGCGUUGUCCGGAAUUACUGGGCGUAAAGAGCACGUAGGCGGGAACUUAAGUCAGGUGUGAAAGACCGGGGCUCAACCUCGGGUAUGCACUUGAAACUGGGUUUCUUGAGGGCAGGAGAGGAAAGCAGAAUUCCUGGUGUAGCGGUGAAAUGCGUAGAAAUCAGGAGGAAUACCAGUGGCGAAGGCGGCUUUCUGGACUGACCCUGACGCUGAGGUGCGAAAGCGUGGGUAGCAAACAGG